rnacentral:rRNA from 1 species
AACGAACGCUGGCGGCAGGCCUAACACAUGCAAGUCGAACGCGCGUAGCAAUACGCGAGUGGCGCACGGGUGAGUAACACGUGGGAAUCUACCCAGAGGUUCGGAAUAACCGCGGGAAACUGCGGCUAAUACCGGAUGUCCCCUAAGGGGGAAAGAUUUAUCGCCUUUGGACGAGCCCGCGUCCGAUUAGCUAGUUGGUGAGGUAACGGCUCACCAAGGCUACGAUCGGUAGCUGGUCNGAGAGGACGACCAGCCACACUGGAACUGAGACACGGUCCAGACUCCUACGGGAGGCAGCAGUGGGGAAUAUUGGGCAAUGGAGGCAACUCUGACCCAGCCAUGCCGCGUGGGUGACGAAGGUCUUCGGAUUGUAAAGCCCUUUCGGCGGGACGAUGAUGACGGUACCCGCAGAAGAAGCCCCGGCUAACUUCGUGCCAG